CAUCUUUUGGUUUUUCCUUAUACUUAAACCAGUAACAUUCCACGUUUUCAUUAGAAUGAGGUGGAAUAGUUCAGGUAAAACAAGAACUGGCCAGAGCUUUUUAUACCUUUCUCUGAAAUUAACUGUUUCGAGGUAUAAAAGUUACCCUUUUUUCCAAAGGCAGCAGGCAGCAGUGCUGUGCUCUUCAUGAGGGGCUGUGGCAGUGGAUUCUCCACUUGGGCUGUGAGUCUGAACCAUCUCUCCAGUGGCAGCAGGAUCUGUUAGUCAUGGAUCACCCCAGCAGCAGCUGCCUGAACCCUCUCUAGUUAGACAUGGCAGUCUGCAGCUUGUUGCCACAGUAUUGCAUGGGAGGAUGGUAUAUUUGUACAUGGAGGUCACAGAAGCCCUUAGGAUAAUUCAGGUAUUCGCAAGGAUCUCACUGAUAAUGGAAAUGUCUAUAUGUCUUUCAUGGCUGAUAAUUACAGAAGUGAAAGGAAAAGAAAAGGUA
rnacentral:lncRNA from 1 species